rnacentral:rRNA from 1 species
GACGAACGCUGGCGGUGUGCUUAACACAUGCAAGUCGAACGGUAAGGCCCUUCGGGGUACACGAGUGGCGAACGGGUGAGUAACACGGGGGUGAUCUGCCCUGCACUUCGGGAUAAGCCUGGGAAACUGGGUCCAAGACCGGACAGGACUCCGGCCUGCCUGGCCCGGCGUGGAACCCUUUUCCGGUGUGGGAUGGGCGCGCGGCCUAUCAGCUUGUUGGUGGGGUGAUGGCCUACCAAGGCGCCGACGGGUCGCCGGCCUGAGAGGGUGACCGGCCACACUGGGACUGAGAUACGGCCCAGACUGCUACGGGAGGCAGCGGUGGGGAAUAUUGCACAAUGGGCGCAAGCCUGAUGCAGCGACGCCGCGUGAGGGAUGACGGCCUUCGGGUUGUAAACCUCUUUCAGCAUCGACGAAGCGAAAGUGACGGUAGGUGCAGAGGAAGGACCGGCCAACUACGUGCCAGCCGCCGCCGUAA